rnacentral:rRNA from 1 species
GACGAACGCUGGCGGCGUGCCUAACACAUGCAAGUCGAACGGGGUAGCAAUACCCAGUGGCGGACGGGUGCGUAACACGUGAGGAACAUGUCUUUCGGCGGGGAAUAGCCGGCCUAACGGCCGGGUAAUACCGCGUACGACGAUCGGGGCGCAUGCCUUGAUCGUGAAAGCAGCAAUGCACCGAUAGAGUGCCUCGCGGCCUAUCAGCUAGUUGGUGAGGUAAUGGCCACCAAGGCGACGACGGGUAGCUGGUCUGAGAGGAUGACCAGCCACACUGGGACUGAGACACGGCCCAGACUCCUACGGGAGGCAGCAGUGGGGAAUAUUGGACAAUGGGCGCAAGCCUGAUCCAGCCAUGCCGCGUGGGGUGAAGAAGGCCUUAGGGUUGUAAACCCCCUUUCAGCGGGGAAGAUAAUGACGGUACCCGCAGAAGAAGUCCCGGNUAA